AGACCCCAGAGCCCUGGGUCUGGCAGGAGUAGAGCCGUUGGUAGAUCGUUGUUGGUCGAACCCGGCGAAGAGAGACGGCGUCGCGCCUUCGGCCGCUGAACCAACCGGGGUGGAGCUAUCGUAGGUAACACGACGUGCCGAGGUCAACCGCCGUGCCGAGGUCAACCGCCUGCUCGCCCUCGAGAAGCGCAAGCGAUUCGCAGAGGCCGCCGCCGCCGCCACCGCAUUCCCCAUCUCCGACACCACAGUCGCCGCCGACUCCACCUCAGCCACGGGUGGGGUUCCAGGUGGUGCUGGAGUUGUGCAGCCCCGACGAGUUCUCGGUGGCGGUGGGACCGGCAGGGAGCAAAUCCUACCCCGGGGAGGCCGACUGCCUCGUUGCCGUCCAAGACUGCCUCGCCUUGGCUUCGCACGAGGAAAGUCAUUAAGAACCUCCCUAGGUCGACUGGCAAAAAUUGGGCCUCUGACAAAGAAGUAGACGAUCUUCUCAAGAAACUGCCUCAGCAAUUACAAGAUGCACUUUUACCCUUCCAACUUGAAGGCGUGAGAUUUGGGCUUCGAAUGAGAUGGGGCUCGGUAAGACUCUCCAGGCAAUUGCGAUAGCUUGUUGCUUCAAGGAUGAGGGCCCAAUAUUAAUCGUGUGUCCAGCUGUAGUGUGUUAUACUUGGGUAGAGGAAUUGGAACGUCGGGAUCCUUCAUGGGAGUGCUCACGGAAUUGUUGUGGAAUAGGUAGUUCUACUCCACAGCUACUUUUGUACAGCACUCAUGGGCAUUCUUCAAAAGGACGCCGAUCUUUUCAAAUCACUGGACACCCCUUUUUUGGGCAUGUAUGUUGAAUGCAACCAGGCGUGUGUUGUCCUUUUUGUAUGUGUCUGUUUUUUACAAUCUGUCUCCAUCUUCAGUGAUGGCUUUGGUGUCAAUUAAAGAAUAUU